GAUGAACGCUGGCGGCGUGCCUAAUACAUGCAAGUCGAGCGAACAGACGAGGAGCUUGCUCCUCUGACGUUAGCGGCGGACGGGUGAGUAACACGUGGAUAACCUACCUAUAAGACUGGGAUAACUUCGGGAAACCGGAGCUAAUACCGGAUAAUAUAUUGAACCGCAUGGUUCAAUAGUGAAAGACGGUUUUGCUGUCACUUAUAGAUGGAUCCGCGCCGCAUUAGCUAGUUGGUAAGGUAACGGCUUAGCAAGGCAACGAUGCGUAGCCGACCUGAGAGGGAGGUCGGCCACCCGGGAACUGAGACAGGGUACAGACUCCUGCGGGGAGAAGCAGUAGGGAAUCUUACGGGAUGGGCGAGAGCCUGACGGAGCAACGCCGCGUGAGUGAUGAAGGUCUUAGGAUCGUAAAGCUCUGUUAGUAGGGAAGAACAAAUGUGUAAGUAACUGUGAACGUCUUGACGGUACCUGAUGAAAAAGCCACGGCUAACUACGUG
rnacentral:rRNA from 1 species